AUGGCGGAGACGGCGAUCGCGGCGGUGCUUUCCAAGUUCGGGGAGCUGGCGGCGAGCGAGGCCAAGGUGCUGCUUCGGGUGGGCGAUGACAUGAUGCUACUGCGCGACCGCCUCGAGUGGCUGCAAGCUUUCAUCCGAGACGCAGACCGGAAGCGCCGGGCCGGCACCGACCAGUUUACCCGCGUGUGGGUGCGCCAGACGCGUGACGUCGCCUUCGAAGCCGAGGACGCGCUCGACGAAUUCUUUUACGAGGUUGAUCUAAAAAGCCAGGGUUAUCGAGGUCGAAAAAUGUGGCGCAAAUACUUGACUGGUUGCUGUACCCAAAUCAUCAUUCGACAUGGGUUGUCUGGCCAAAUAAAAAGAAUCAAUAGACGACUCCAAAAAAUCUCGGAGAACCAAAAGGAAUACAAGAUCGAGCAUAGACCAUCAGUGACAUUAACAUCUUCCACUACCGCCACUUCGUCAUGGCGGGAUGAUUAUACGAACGCCGUGCGUUUUGACAAAGAUAUCAAGACAAUUGAGAAAAUGCUGCUUCGUAAAGAUCACCCACAACCAAUGUUGAUCUCUAUACUUGGGGAGAGUGGUGUGGGAAAGAGAACACUCGCAAGUAUUAUCUCGGAUAAUAUGAAGGCGAUUAAUCAUUUUGAAAUUCUAGCUGAGACUGCUGGGUACAACAUGCCCACCACAGAAGCUCUCCUUCAAAAAAUCCACUACCAGAUAGCACAUCAAGGGACACGAGGACGUCAGCCAGAUGACGAAGAAGGCAUUGAUAUCACUGUCACUGACAAGAUUCGUCGCCUCCUGGAGAAAAAGAGGUACCUGGUGAUUAUUGGUGACAUAUCCUCCAAAACUAUGCUCAACUGUUUGUGGGCGUGCCUGCCAGAUGACAAUAAUGGCAGCAGGGUGGUGCUCAUAUUGGAUACCGAGAAUGAAGAAGUCGCAUCAUAUGCUAAUGCCAUGAACAAAAAUGGCAUCAACGGAAUCCACCAGUUGAACCGCUUGGAUGAAGAAAGAAGUGGACAGUUGUUCUGUUCGAGGGUCUUGAGGAAACGAGAAUACAACGAAAAUGAUGAAUACAUGAGCAUAUACGACAGAUUCAUGUUCCGCUGGAGGAAAGAACAGUCCAACGAAGAGGGAAACAUGAGGAAGUACCACAAGAUCGUUUACGAUAUAACAGGGGGUUACCCUCUGGCUAUAGUGGUUCUGGCCGGAUUACUCCGAUUCAAGGAGAAGCCGGGACAGUGGGAAGCACUGCUGCAACAGCUCAAUUCUGCUUCUGCAUCAGGAAUGGAAGAAGCACAGGGCAACCAGAUAACUGGAGCUGGACUGCACAACAAGUGGGAGAUGAGCCCUACAACAGCUAACCUGUCCACAGGAACAACGAUUGAAAGGGUCUUCUGGGCAAGCUUUGAAGACCUUCCCAAUGAUCUCAAGUCAUGCCUCCUCUACUUCGCCGCUUUCCCCAAGAAUAGCGCUCAUUAUGCCGAUGAGUUGGUGCGGAUGUGGAUGGCCGAGGGAUUCAUCAAGCCACAGAAGGGCAAGACUAUGGAGGAGCUCGGUCACAACUACCUCAAGGAACUGGUGGUGAGAUGCCUUGUCCAGAUUGAAGACAUGAAUGACGUUGGUGGCAUUAAUAAGGUCAUGGUUCACAGAAGCUUCCAUGGGUUCCUGCAUUCAGAGGCUCACGAGGCUGGCUUCAUUGAGGUUCAUGACAAACAUGACAUCUUUGUUCCACCAUCGGUGCGCCGACUCUCUUACCACAGUCUCAACGGCAGAUAUACCACAUUCACCAACAAGUUCCCUAAGCUGCGUUCCUUCUUGUGCCAAGUCAGUGUGUUAGACCAGGACCAGGAUGCCAACAAGGAUUGGUAUGAUCUCAAGUUUCUGCGUGGGUCCAAGUUCCUGCGUGUAAUCUCCAGUAAGGGAUUGAGGCUUGAUAGUUUGCCCGAUGAGAUUGGUGACCUGGUCCACUUGCGGUACCUGCGUGUUCAAUGCCUGGACCUGCAGGAGCUCCCAUCAAGCAUUAAGAGACUGCUCAAUCUGCAGACACUGGACUUAAGGGGUACUCAAGUCAACAAGAUUGACGCAUGCUUCUGGAAGAUUAAGACGCUGCGACAUGUGUUUGCAGACAAGCUCAUGCUUCCAGCGUCCAUCACAGAAGAACUGAACGAGCUGCAGACGCUACAUGGUGUAAAGCCUGACAAUGAAGGAGAAUGGAAUCAACAUAAUUGCCCACUGCUUAAGAUGACCAAACUCCGGUCAUUGAACCUGUGUGGGUUCAAGCAUGACAAGCAUGGGGCUGCACUGGAGGGUGCCCUCACAAAGAUGCAUCUCCUUGGCCGCUUGAAGCUGCAAGGUGAUGUGAUUCCUUCAUGCGUCUUCACUGCACACAGCCUACGAUACCUUCAGAUGCUAGUCCUUAGUGGCACUAUCAAAUGGGCUGAGGUUGCAUCAGAUGUUCGCAAGGUCCGACCGAACCUCGUUCAGCUCAUAGUGUUCAAGAGUAGGAGUGAGGAGGUGCCCCAUCACAUCAAGGACCAACUGCAGGAGAUGCUAGAGGUAAUCGAUGAAUAG
rnacentral:rRNA from 1 species